AGGAAAUUUUUGAAAAGCUGAUGAGCAAUGCUGUUAAUGCCUAGGCACGGCACUUAAAUGGAGCUGUUAUCAACACAAACUAAUCUAAUAAGCUCUCUUCUUGCAACUGAGUGCCCCUUGACUUACAUGCGGAUCCAUACACUCUCGUUGGGUCAUCAUCAGGCACGACUUCUUCGACCAAUGGGAGACCGCUACCUAUUGCUACUAUUACCCCCUCUCGCCAGGAGCCUCGGAUACACAUGAUGCCUACUUCGAGUGUGCCAAGAUCAUGUACUCAACAAGCCAAUAAACCUUCCAAUACUGUCUCACAUGGUGUGCAGAGUGAUCCAACUAUUGUAGCUCCCAAACGAGCAGGAUCUUGUGGGAAAAGACAAACUACAUCUAAUGGUACCCAAGAUACUCAAGGUCAAGGAACAUCCACUGCCAUUGGUCACUCCAGCACAAGUGCUUCCAAGCUUAGAUAUGAUGGUGCCAAAUAGUUUGUUAUUUGCUUUAAAUUUUAUGAAUAGCAUGUCUCAUUUUUACUAAGUAAUAUGUCUUUAUCAUUUUUUGGUUUUUGAUGUAGUUGGCACCCACCUAAGUCUGACUUAAAGCGUAUUUCUUAGGUUUUUAAGAAAAACUACAACAAGCCUUGGCUGAAUUUUGAUGAGGCAGAUGAUGAUACUCAAAAAUUUUGGUGGACAGAGUAGAGAGUAAAUUUUAUCUACCUUAUUUUACGUAUUUUACAAUGUUAUAUAUCAUAGUAUGUUAUAUAAUAAUAAGAUGUUAUUUCUUUUUUAAAAUAAAAAUGCUUUGAUAUUAUUGACACGAAAGAAGAAGAUAUCUAUCAAGUUUGGAGGUUUAGGGCUACCAAGCGCUUGUGAGGUAUGCUCCAUGCCAUUCGUAAAAAAGGUGCCCGUCCAUAUUGGAUCCCACUAGAAGUUCUUGGUGAAUUGAUGAGACAUUGGGACACUGAUGCCUAUAGACAAUUACAGGUGAGAAAUACAGCUGCCAGAAAAUCAACUCGAGGUACCUUCCUUCACACCGCAGGAGGCACCACCUUUUCAAAAGCGAGGUUCUGCUUGAAUCAUUUGCUUAAAAGACCAUCACGUAUGGAUGAAUUUUUUUAGCACACUCAGAUCGCAAAGAGGAUAGGACUCAAUGAGUUGACGAACACUCCCGAAAGACAAAGGAUAUAUUUCAAGAGAGUAUGUUUCAGGCUGAGUAAGAGCGGCAGGCUGCUAUAGAGGCUAGUGUAACUGAUGUACCGCCUGUCUCUGAGGAAAGUAUAUGGAUUGAGACAGUGGAUGGAAAACGAAGAGGUAGGGUAUAUGGCAUGGGUGAGGUAAGGAACUCUUCCAUGGUGCGACCUCGAGUUGAUGGGCCAACCGUGACCACCAGCAAUGAUGUUUUGGAUCUUAGAGAACGAAUCGUAAUACCCAAUAGGAAAGUUGAACAACAUGCCACUAAUUAUAGAGAGCUUGAAGACUGCUACCAAAGGGAGAAAAGCGAGUGGCAACAGACUGUUGAAUCCUUGCGUGAGGAUCUCAACACUAGUAACUCACAAAUGGAUCAGUUUAGUCAUCAAUUGAACAGCUUGACUGAGUAUGUGAGGGUCAUGAAUCCUAGUAGUUCUGGAUCACGUGUUCCCCCACCUCCUCCUUUUACUUUUCCAAGUUCUCAGAAAAGCACAACCCCAGGUAGAAAAUUCUCACAUAUUCUGCAGCGAUCAGGACAAUCACAGAGUUCUCAAAGGGAGGAUGAUUCUAAUGAUCUUGAUGACUCGGAUAAUUAUUUAGAUGAGUACGAGUAGGUUAUUUACUUUACAUUGAAUAUAUUGUAUUAUUAGUGGAUUACAAUUUAAACGAAUAUAAGUCUAAAUUUAGUUAUUUAUCUUAUCUUAUG